UACGGAGGGAGCUAGCGUUGUUCGGAAUUACUGGGCGUAAAGCGCACGUAGGCGGCUUUGUAAGUUAGAGGUGAAAGCCUGGGGCUCAACUCCAGAACUGCCUUUAAAACUGCAUCGCUUGAAUCCAGGAGAGGUGAGUGGAAUUCCGAGUGUAGAGGUGAGAUUCGUAGAUAUUCGGAAGAACACCAGUGGCGAAGGCGGCUCACUGGACUGGUAUUGACGCUGAGGUGCGAAAGCGUGGGGAGCAAACAGG
rnacentral:rRNA from 1 species